rnacentral:rRNA from 1 species
CAGAGGGUGCGAGCGUUAAUCGGAAUUACUGGGCGUAAAGCGUGCGUAGACGGUUAUGUAAGUCGGGUGUGAAAGCCCCGGGCUCAACCUGGGAAUUGCAUUCGAGACUGCAUAGCUAGGAUGCGGAAGAGGGAAGUGGAAUUUCCGGUGUAGCGGUGAAAUGCGUAGAUAUCGGAAGGAACAUCAGUGGCGAAAGCGACUUCCUGGUCCAGCAUCGACGUUCAGGCACGAAAGCGUGGGGAGCAAACAGGAUUAGAUACCCUGGUAGUCCACGCCAUAAACGAUGAGAACUAGACGUUGAGAGGGUAAGCCUCCCAGUGUCGUAGCUAACGCGCUAAGUUCUCCGCCUGGGGAGUACGGCCGCAAGGUUG